CUUAACAGUUGUGGUGGUUGCCUGCGCACACUCCCUUCUACCCCCUUUCCAGCAUCGACUUCGCGUUGCACUUCCACUGCGCUUCUUCUCCAUCAACGCGAGGGACGAUUGCCCAGGACGUGUGUGUCUGCGUGCCCUCCCUGCAAGAUCGCGAUCUGGUCAGGCGCUGCCACUCAAGAACGCCGCACGGCGAACGCUCUCUGCACUGGCGUGUGCGACUGCGCGCGCGCCGCCUUUCUUCCUCAACCUCCCACACAUCUGGCGGCGCUCGGGCUUCUCGCGCACAUGGCGGAGCCAGCAUUUCGCGGUACACUGCUGCUGUUGCAGAACCGUACUCGCCGCGACCCGGAGUCGUACCGUGACGAGUUCCUUGCUCAGCUGGACCACUUCAGGGCCUUCAGCGCCACCGUGCUCUCCCAGCGGAGUCUCAAUCCUCAGUUCAUCGCGGUGCUCAACUACGUCUGCCACGUUGGCCACUGCUUCCCAAAGGAUGCUGCCGUGAUCGUGAACAUCGUGUUGGAGCUGCUGCGUGCAUCCAAAGGGAAUGGUUUGCCGAUGGACUUGCGCCUGGCGCUCGUGAAGUCGCUGAUUCUCCUGCGCGCCAAAGACCUUGUCUCGACGGACCAUACCUUCCCUCUGUUCUUUGAGCUGCUGCAGGAGCGUGACAAGACGUUGCGCAAGCUGAUCUUGACGCACGUCGUGAGCGAUAUCCGCAAGGCGAACAUGCCGGGCGCGAAGAACGGCGCGCAGAUCAAUAAGAGGGCGCAGAACUUUCUCUUCUCUGUCAUGGCAGAAGACGACCCGGUUCAGGCACGCUGUGCUGAGAUGGUCAUGAUCGAUCUCUACCGCCGGCGUGUCUGGAGUGACGAGCGCACAGUGGAGGUGCUCACCAAGGCGUGCUUCUCCAAGCACACGCCGAUCCUGCGGACGGCGCUCCGCUUCUUCUUGCUUCAAAUGCCGAGGAUCACCUCCGUGGACGACGAGGACGGCGAGGGCGGCGAGGAGCAGGACCCUGGCCGCACCAUCUCGAAGCUGCAGCAGAAGAUGAAGAUCGUGAAGAAGACGUCGAAGCGCGAGCGAGUGCUGAAGCGCAGCGUCCGCGGAGCGAAGCGCAAGUACGACCGGCAAGAGAAGGAGGAGGCGCUCUUCGCGAAGCAGCACGUCGACCCCGUCCGCCUUCUGCGCGACCCGCAGCAGUUCGUCGAGCGUCUCCUCGCGAAGCUGCAGAAGACGUCGGAGCGCUUUGAGGUUCGCCUCCUGUACUUGAACGUGAUUGCGCGCACCGUCUCCGAGCACGAGGUGCUGCACCUUCCGCUCUACGGCUUUCUGGAGCGCUACAUGGAACCUUCCCAGCUGCAUGCCACGCAGCUGCUGGCCCUCUCCGCCACGUGCGUGCACGCGAUGGUGCCGCCGGAUGCAAUCGAGCCGCUACUGCGCACGAUCGCCAACCACUUUGUCUCGGACCGCUCGUCGGCGGACGCGAUCACUGUCGGCAUCAACACGAUUCGGGAGAUUUGCAAGCGCCAGCCCCUUGCCAUGAAUGCCGACUUGCUGAAAGACCUGGCCGAGUACAAGAACCAGCGUGGCGACAAAGGUGUCAUGAUGGCGGCGCGUGCGCUCAUCCAGCUGUACCGUGACGUGUAUCCGGAGUUGCUGCCGGCGAAGCUGCGCGGCAGCAAGGCGGGUGCCGCGGACAUGGCAACGAAGCCCGUCUACGGUUCCAAGCACGUGUACACGGACAUCCCUGGACUCGAGCUUCUGUAUCAGGACAUUGACAACAACGCCGGCAACGACGAGAGUGGCAGCGAGAGCUCCUCGUCGGAGGUCGACUCGUCCAGCGGCGAGUGGGCGACCGACUCCGACAGCGAGGCUGACGCUGACGACGUCGACGGCGAGUUCGUGGACGUCCCCGACUCUAGCGCGGAGGAGGAAGACAAAAGCGAGGAUGCAUGUCCUCAGCUGGCGCCGGUACACGAGCACGCCCACUCUGCUGCCAACCGGACCGACGCAGACGGCGAGGGACCACGCAAGCGCGCGCGUCUGGAAGAGGCUGCGCCAGUCUCGGUAGCGUCACAGAACGGUGCUGCGCUCAGCGAGAGUUCCACAGACGACGAGGAUGAAGGGGUGGACUCUGACGUUGACGAGGACGGUGAGGGGGUGGCCAGCGACGAGGAAAACGACGAUGAGGAAAGCGACGACGAGGAAUCGGAGGAUGAGAGCGAGUUUGGCUGGGAAGAAACGUCCGACGACGAGGAAAGCGAACGCGAUGAGGAGAGCACCGCGGAGGCGAAGGAGGAGGAGCCUGCCUCUCUCUCCGCUGCCUUGGCCAACGCGAAUUCCGGUGCUGACUGGUUUGAGGACCUCACUGAAGGCAUGAGCAGCAGAAACGCGUCCUCGUCGCUCCGAGCGGGGUCUGUCUCAAGCUCCAAGGCGCUCUCAACCACUUCCAUUUCUUCGUCACGCCUACUGACGGAUAGCGACUUCCAGAAGAUAAACCAGCUGCGCACGCAGCACGGCAGCCACCAGUCUCUGCGAGGCAAGCGCAAGGAACGCGAUGCACAGUCCAAGAAGCGCCACGACCUCAUCCACGGCAUCAGCAACGACCUCGACGCACACGACAUCGAGCACUUCACCGAGAAGAAGCGCGAGACAGACAAGCAGGCGAAGAUUGAGCAGGCGCGGGAGCUGCGUAAAGCCUCCUCGACGUUUGAGCUGCGGCGCAAGAAGAAGAGCAAACUCAACUCCACGCACGGGGAGCACUCAAAGCGCGGCAAACUCUUCCAGAUGACCAAACGGUCGCGGCGUGUGGCGGCGAAGCUGAAGAGCUCUGUGGCCGACCGCGCUACCCGCGCGAAGGAAAUGCAGAAGAAGGACAUCAAGUUCCGCAUCAAGCGUGGCUGGAAGGCGUAGUGGAGCGACGGCAGCGCGAUGUACGGCGACAGGAAAAGUAUCACCGCAGUGGCGGCCCCAUACUUCUAACCAACAGACGAAGCGUGUUGAUCGCGAAAGACGAUACCCCCUUCCCCUCGAGUAACAGUGUCACGGAGCGCUGCUCUGCUAGUCUUUUAACCCCCCCCUCCCCGCGCUGGAAUCGUCUAAGCUGAUGACGGCGCCCUCUCCUCCGUGGCUGGUGCCGCUCCCUUGCAAAAUUUUCUGUGUUCACCCGUUGCUGUUGUUCUGCUCAUGCCGCUGCUGCUGCGGCGACGGCGGUGUGGAAGUGCAGCAGAGAGCGGCUGGGCGAGGGGAGGACGGCGAUGUGAGGGGGCCGAGGGAACGCUUAAGAGAGUAAACAAAAAAGUAGCAGGCGAAAUAGAGUGAGGCAGGCGUGUGUGUGCCAGCCGCAGGAACACGACAGUCGUGGCUGCCACAGCGGAGCAGUGCUCUGCACCAUCUGAUGCCUGACAGCAGACGCCGUUGGCCUGCACCAAUGCGUUUCAUGCCACCGUCGUCGAUUUGAGAGUAAGCGACGUCUCU
rnacentral:misc_RNA from 1 species